rnacentral:rRNA from 1 species
AUACGUAGGGUGCGAGCGUUGUCCGGAAUUACUGGGCGUAAAGAGCUCGUAGGUGGUUUGUCGCGUCGUCUGUGAAAUUCCGGGGCUUAACUCCGGGCGUGCAGGCGAUACGGGCAUAACUUGAGUACUGUAGGGGUGACUGGAAUUCCUGGUGUAGCGGUGAAAAGCGCAGAUAUCAGGAGGAACACCGGUGGCGAAGGCGGGUCUCUGGGCAGUAACUGACGCUGAGGAGCGAAAGCAUGGGUAGCGAACAGGAUUAGAUACCCUGGUAGUCCAUGCCGUAAACGGUGGGCGCUAGGUGUAGGGGUCUUCCACGACUUCUGUGCCGUAGCUAACGCAUUAAGCGCCCCGCCUGGGGAGUACGGCCGCAAGGCUAAAACUCAAAGGAAUUGACGGGG